AACCUGGUUGAUGCCUGCCAGUAGUCAUAUGCGUUGUGCUCAAAGAUUAAGCCAUGCAUGUCUAAGUACAAGCCUCACUAAGGUGAAACCGCGAAUGGCUCAUUAAAUCACACCUAAUCUACUGGAUAGUAAAAAGUUACUUGGAUAACUGCGGUAAUUCUGGAGCUAAUACAUGCACAAAGCCGCGACUCACGAAGCGGCGCUUUUAUUAGAUCAAAACCAAACGGCUUCGGCUGUACUCAUGGUGACUCUGAAUAACUUUGGGCUGAUCGCAUAGCCUUGAGCUGGCGACAUAUCCUUCGAAGGUGUGCCCUAUCAACUUUCGACUGUGGCAUAGACGCCCACAGUGGUUUUGACGGGUAACGGGGAAUCAGGGUUCGAUUCCGGAGAGGGAGCCUUAAAAACGGCUACCACAUCUAAGGAAGGCAGCAGGCACGCAAAUUACCCAAUGACCGAAGGUCGAGGUAGUGACGAAAAAUAACGAUAGAGGACUCAUCCGAGGCCCUCUAAUUGGAAUGAGUACACUUUAAAACCGUCCCCGAGGAUCUAUUGGAGGGCAAGUCUGGUGCCAGCAGCCGCGGUAAUUCCAGCUCCAAUAGC
rnacentral:rRNA from 1 species